rnacentral:lncRNA from 1 species
GCUGAAUAAUAAUGGUUUUCCCUAAAGAGUUAAGUGUGUUCUGCUAGAUUAGAGUAUUUCAGGGCACAGUGCUUGUUACUUGCUUCAAAAUAUGCCUAUAAAAUCUCAAAUCAACACAAUUUUAGUGGCGGCCAUCUUGGAGAAAAAAGGGGGACCGAAAGCCAACCUUAAAUCGUUCAUAACUUCGUAACCCUACAUUGGAUUUUAAAAAACAAGGGCUUAAAAUGUUCGUCUUGACAAGAUCUUUCAACAAAAUGCAACAAAUACAAUAUAUUCCCUGUAAUAGUAU